rnacentral:rRNA from 1 species
UCCACGCCGUAAACGAUGAGAGCUAGGUGUAGGAGGUAUCGACUCCUUCUGUGCCGCAGUUAACGCAUUAAGCUCUCCGCCUGGGGAGUACGGCCGCAAGGUUAAAACUCAAAGGAAUUGACGGGGGCCCGCACAAGCGGUGGAGUAUGUGGUUUAAUUCGAUGAUACGCGAGAAACCUUACCUGGUCUUGACAUGUAGAGAAUUUCUAGAGAUAGAAAGUGCCUGCUUGCAGGAGCUCUAACACAGGUGGUGCAUGGUUGUCGUCAGCUCGUGUCGUGAGAUGUUGGGUUAAGUCCCGCAACGAGCGCAACCCUUGUUACU